UAAUUCUGAUUUAAUUAUAAUUAUUUGUUUCUGUCUAAUGGAUUGGAGUUUAGCUGGUUGCUCUUUGUCAAGGAGCUUCAAAAAUCUCAUGAAAUUUUU